rnacentral:snRNA from 1 species
UUAGCUACGGCGAUACAUAUUCAAAAAUUGGAACGAUACAGAGAAGAUUAGCAUGGCACCUGCGCAAGAAUGACACGCAAAUUUGUGAAGCAUUCCAUAUUUUU